GCGGGGAGUACUUGUUUCUAAUCCAGUAUAUCAAUACUACCUUGUUCAGAACUUAAAGAGAAAUCUUGAGUUUAUGGACUUCAGGGGGAGUAUGGUCACAAGGCUGAAACUUAAAGGAAUUGACGGAAGGGCACACCAGGAGUGGAGCCUGCGGCUUAAUUUGACUCAACACGGGAAAACUUACCAAGACCGAACAGUAGAAGGAAUGACAGAUUAAGAGUUCUUUCAUGAUUUAUUGGGUAGUGGUGCAUGGCCGUUCUUAGUUGGUGGAGUGAUUUGUCAGGUUAAUUCCGGUAACGAACGAGACUGAAACCUAUUAAUUAGUUUUCUGCCUAUAAGACAGAAAUGUUCGCAAGAACAGGUGCGUAAGUACCACUUCUUAAGGGGGACACAUA
rnacentral:rRNA from 1 species